rnacentral:rRNA from 1 species
AUUGAACGCUGGCGGCAGGCCUAACACAUGCAAGUCGAGCGGAUGAAGGGAGCUUGCUCCUGGAUUCAGCGGCGGACGGGUGAGUAAUGCCUAGGAAUCUGCCUGGUAGUGGGGGAUAACGUCCGGAAACGGGCGCUAAUACCGCAUACGUCCUGAGGGAGAAAGUGGGGGAUCUUCGGACCUCACGCUAUCAGAUGAGCCUAGGUCGGAUUAGCUAGUUGGUGGGGUAAAGGCCUACUAAGGCGACGAUCCGUAACUGGUCUGAGAGGAUGAUCAGUCACACUGGAACUGAGACACGGUCCAGACUCCUACGGGAGGCAGCAGUGGGGAAUAUUGGACAAUGGGCGAAAGCCUGAUCCAGCCAUGCCGCGUGUGUGAAGAAGGUCUUCGGAUUGUAAAGCACUUUAAGUUGGGAGGAAGGGCAGUAAGCUAAUACCUUGCUGUUUUGACGUUACCAACAGAAUAAGCACCGGCUAACUUCGUG